ACAGCCAUGUCACAUUGAAACAACACUAGUUCUCAUACAAUCACCAAAGAUAAACAGCAUUGAGCCUAGUCAGUACCUAGAUGGGUGACCACUUGAGUAUAACAGGUGUUGCAAG